AGCGGGAAGUAGUUUACUACUUUGCCGGCGAGCGGCGGACGGGUGAGUAAUGUCUGGGAAACUGCCUGAUGGAGGGGGAUAACUACUGGAAACGGUAGCUAAUACCGCAUAACGUCUUCGGACCAAAGUGGGGGACCUUCGGGCCUCACGCCAUCGGAUGUGCCCAGAUGGGAUUAGCUAGUAGGUGGGGUAAUGGCUCACCUAGGCGACGAUCCCUAGCUGGUCUGAGAGGAUGACCAGCCACACUGGAACUGAGACACGGUCCAGACUCCUACGGGAGGCAGCAGUGGGGAAUAUUGCACAAUGGGCGCAAGCCUGAUGCAGCCAUGCCGCGUGUGUGAAGAAGGCCUUCGGGUUGUAAAGCACUUUCAGCGAGGAGGAAGGCCAGUAACUUAAUACGUUGUUGGAUUGACGUUACUCGCAGAAGAAGCACCGGCUAACUCCGUGCCAGCAGCCGCGGUAAUACGGAGGGUGCAAGCGUUAAUCGGAAUUACUGGGCGUAAAGCGCACGCAGGCGGUUUGUUAAGUCAGAUGUGAAAUCCCCGCGCUUAACGUGGGAACUGCAUUUGAAACUGGCAAGCUAGAGUCUUGUAGAGGGGGGUAGAAUUCCAGGUGUAGCGGUGAAAUGCGUAGAGAUCUGGAGGAAUACCGGUGGCGAAGGCGGCCCCCUGGACAAAGACUGACGCUCAGGUGCGAAAGCGUGNGGAGCAAACA
rnacentral:rRNA from 1 species